rnacentral:rRNA from 1 species
AUUGAACGCUGGCGGCAGGCCUAACACAUGCAAGUCGAACGAGUGGCGGACGGGUGAGUAAUGUCUGGGAAACUGCCUGAUGGAGGGGGAUAACUACUGGAAACGGUAGCUAAUACAGCAUACCAUCAGAUGUGCCCAGAUGGGCUUAGCUAGUUGGUGGGGUAACGGCUCACCAAUGCGACGAUCCCUAGCUGGUCUGAGAGGAUGACCAGCAACAAUGGAACUGAGACACGUGCCAGACUCCUACGGGAGUCAGCAGUGGGGAAGAGUGGACAAUGGGCGCAAGCCUGAUGCAGCCAUGCCGCGUGUAGGAAGAAGGCCUUCGGGUGGUAAAGUACUUUCAGCGGGGAGGCGUUAACCGCAGAAGAAGCACAGGCGAACGCCGUGCCAGCAGCCGCGGUAAUUC